GCACAAGCGGAGGAACAUGUGGUUUAAUUCGAUGAUACGCGAGGAACCUUACCUGGGCUUAAAUGGGGAGUGACAGCUGGCGAAGGUUGGUUUUCUUCGGACACUCUUCAAGGUGCUGCAUGGCUGUCGUCAGCUCGUGUCGUGAGAUGUUGGGUUAAGUCCCGCAACGAGCGCAACCCUCGCCUUUAGUUGCCAGCAUUCAGUUGGGCACUCUAGAGGGACUGCCGGUGUCAAACCGGAGGAAGGUGGGAUGACGUCAAGUCCUCAUGGCCUUUAUGUCUAGGGCUACACACGUACUACAAUGGCCGGUACAAAGGGCAGCCACUCAGCGAUGAGGCGCUAAUCCCAUAAAGCCGGUCUCAGUCCGGAUCGCAGUCUGCAACUCGACUGCGUGAAGUUGGAAUCGCUAGUAAUCGUAGAUCAGCAUGCUACGGUGAAUACGUUCCCGGGCCUU
rnacentral:rRNA from 1 species